rnacentral:rRNA from 1 species
AGAGUUUGAUCCUGGCUCAGAUUGAACGCUGGCGGAAUGCUUUACACAUGCAAGUCGAACGGCAGCACGGGUGCUUGCACCUGGUGGCGAGUGGCGAACGGGUGAGUAAUGCGUCGGAACGUGCCGAGUAAUGGGGGAUAACGCAGCGAAAGUUGUGCUAAUACCGCAUACGCCCUCCGGGGGAAAGCAGGGGAUCGCAAGACCUUGCGUUAUUCGAGCGGCCGACGUCUGAUUAGCUUGUUGGUGAGGUAAUGGCUCACCAAGGCGACGAUCAGUAGCGGGUCUGAGAGGAUGAUCCGCCACACUGGGACUGAGACACGGCCCAGACUCCUACGGGAGGCAGCAGUGGGGAAUUUUGGACAAUGGGGGCAACCCUGAUCCAGCCAUUCCGCGUGAGUGAAGAAGGCCUUCGGGUUGUAAAGCUCUUUCAGCAGGAACGAAACGGUACGCUCUAACAUAGCGUGCUAAUGACGGUACCUGCAGAAGAAGCACCGGCUAACUACGUGCCAGCAGCCGCGGUAAUACGUAGGGUGCGAGCGUUAAUCGGAAUUACUCGGCGUAAAGCGUGCGCAGGCGGAUUGUUAAGCAAGACGUGAAAUCCCCGGGCUUAACCUGGGAAUGGCGUUUUGAACUGGCAGUCUAGAGUGUGUCAGAGGGGGGUGGAAUUCCACGUGUAGCAGUGAAAUGCGUAGAGAUGUGGAGGAACACCAAUGGCGAAGGCAGCCCCCUGGGAUAACACUGACGCUCAUGUACGAAAGCGUGGGUAGCAAACAGGAUUAGAUACCCUGGUAGUCG